GGGGGGAGGCCGGAUCCUGGGCUGUGUCCAGGCGCCCUGUGCUCUGGGGCUGCGCUGUUGGAUUCGCGCUCCCGGGCCGCGGAGCUGCCGCCC
rnacentral:pre_miRNA from 1 species